GCUGGCAUGGCUCAGUGGUUGAGCAUCUGCCUAUGAACCAGGAGGUCAUGGUUUGAUUCCAGGUCAGGGCA
rfam:Myotis lucifugus cont2.41097, whole genome shotgun sequence.